GGGGACGUAGCUCAGCCUGGGAGAGCGCUAGACUGAAGAUCUAGAUGUCGUGGAUUCAAAUUCCGCCGUCCCCA
rnacentral:tRNA from 1 species